rnacentral:rRNA from 1 species
UACGAAGGGGGCUAGCGUUGUCCGGAAUUAUUGGGCGUAAAGGGCUCGUAGGCGGUUUGUCGCGUCGGGAGUGAAAACCUCGGGCUUAACUCGGGGCUUGCUUUCGAUACGGGCAGACUGGAGGUAUGCAGGGGAGAACGGAAUUCCUGGUGUAGCGGUGAAAUGCGCAGAUAUCAGGAGGAACACCGGUGGCGAAGGCGGCACUCUGGGCCGGUACUGACGCUGAGGAGCGAAAGCGUGGGGAGCGAACAGG